rnacentral:lncRNA from 1 species
GCGUCUAUUUGGUUAAGAGGAGUCUCUACAUAUAUAUCGCCAGGAACAUUCUCCCCUAUCCGAUGUGGGACAUCACAAAUACCCCCCCAUGCAGACACAACGUCUUCGUUGUGUCCCAUGGGAUUGCGGGGCCAGACAAAGCCAAACAAACCCCCACACCGGGGUCGGGGAUCGGCUCUGAUACCAUUUGUAACGACCCGCACCCAACCAUGUAGAUAUUGUCCGCUUUGGGUCCAAGGGGGCCCUCACGGCUUUAAAACGCGUCUA